GUUUUACAUAUAAAUUUUAUUUACCGCUCCUCGCUGCUGCUCUGCCUCUUUAACUGAUAUCAGUGUUAUUGAUCUCAGCCAAUCCUAUGCUUUCGCAUAGGGAAGCAUUGGGAGGAUAGGGCGCAUGCGCAGCAAGACGCCACAUUGUGCCAAGUUUAACUCUGUUAUAGCUGCGGAAGUACCUCUAGUGCCUGUGUUCCUGACUGCCAUUUGCGGCAUGUUAACACUGAAAUGUAAACCUUGCUGUUCUUGCAAAACGGCAAUCUUUUCAGUUGCAUGGUCAAAAUGACAGGAGCAUGACAUCCACACCACUUCAUUAAGUGGA